UGGGAACCUUCCCUAUGGUUCGGGAUAGCACAGGGAAACUUGGGGUAAUACCGGAUAAGCCCUUCGGGGGAAAGAUUUAUCGCCAUUGGAUGGGCCCGCGUCGGAUUAGCUAGUUGGUGAGGUAACGGCUCACCAAGGCAACGAUCCGUGGCUGGUCUGAGAGGAUGAUCAGCCACACUGGGACUGAGACACGGCCCAGACUCCUACGGGAGGCAG
rnacentral:rRNA from 1 species